rnacentral:tRNA from 3 species
GCCGGGGUAGCCUAGCCUGGCUAUGGCGCCAGACUCAUGAUCUGGAGGUCGUGGGCUCGAAUCCCACCCCCGGCACCA